rnacentral:ncRNA from 1 species
GGUAGUAGCAAUAUUCAAAUGAGAACUUGGAAGGCCGAAGAGAGGGAAGUUCUAUGUGAACGAUACUUGCAUAUGGGUUAGUCGAUCUUAAGGGAUGGAGGAAGGUCGUCAUAUAGUACUCUAAGCACACACUCCGAGAGGGAAUCGGGUUAAAGCUCCUGAACUAGGACAUGGCAAUCAAGUUAAAAUUCUUGAACAAGGACAUGCCGCUUGGCGACGUUAGGCAAUCCAAAGUGAGGAAACGUCAUUAGCUCAAAUAAUCUUAAUAUAAUGCAAUUGUACAUCCUCAUUUUGGCA